GACGAACGCUGGCGGCGUGCUUAACACAUGCAAGUCGAACGGCAAGGCCCUGCUUUUGUGCUGUUCUCGAUUGCCGAUCGCGUGAGUAACACGUAAGUAACCUGCUCUUGUCUUUGGGAUAGCUUCAGGAAGCUGGGGUUACUCUCAUACCGGAUCCCCCGCUGCGUGGUGGGGGUUGGAAAUUUUCGGCGGUCGGGGUUGGACGCGCGGCUUAUCAGCUUGUUGGUGGGGUAGUGGCUUACCCAGGCUUUGACGGGUCGGCGGCCUGAGAGGGUGGCCGGCCACAAUGGGACUGAGGUACGGCCCAGACGGCAACGGGGGGCAACGGUGGGGAAUAUUGCACAACGGGAGGAAGCCUGAUAAAGCAACGCCGCGGGCGGGAUGACGGCCUUCGGGUUGUAAACCGCUUUAGCCUGAGACGAAGCGUGAGUGACGGUAAUGAGUAAAGAAGCACCGGCUAACUACGUG
rnacentral:rRNA from 1 species